AACCCAUGAUGAGGACACUUAUGAAGCAAUUCCUCGAAUCUUUCCUAUGCCUCGUAUAAAGACUCGUCAUCCAAUUGUUGGGAAGUUGUUAUCUCAUUACAGAACUU
rfam:Gossypium raimondii Chr03_contig_295, whole genome shotgun sequence.